rnacentral:rRNA from 1 species
CUUAGGCGUGUGACUGCGUACCUUUUGUAUAAUGGGUCAGCGACUUAUAUUCUGUAGCAAGGUUAACCGAAUAGGGGAGCCGAAGGGAAACCGAGUCUUAACUGGGCGUUAAGUUGCAGGGUAUAGACCCGAAACCCGGUGAUCUAGCCAUGGGCAGGUUGAAGGUUGGGUAACACUAACUGGAGGACCGAACCGACUAAUGUUGAAAAAUUAGCGGAUGACUUGUGGCUGGGGGUGAAAGGCCAAUCAAACCGGGAGAUAGCUGGUUCUCCCCGAAAGCUAUUUAGGUAGCGCCUCGUGAAUUCAUCUCCGGGGGUAGAGCACUGUUUCGGCAAGGGGGUCAUCCCGACUUACCAACCCGAUGCAAACUGCGAAUACCGGAGAAUGUUAUCACGGGAGACACACGGCGGGUGCUAACGUCCGUCGUGAAGAGGGAAACAACCCAGACCGCCAGCUAAGGUCCCAAAGUCAUGGUUAAGUGGGAAACGAUGUGGGAAGGCCCAGACAGCCAGGAUGUUGGCUUAGAAGCAGCCAUCAUUUAAAGAAAGCGUAA